AGCCUUUCGAAAGAAAGAUUAAUACCCGAUGGCAUAAUAGAACCGCAUGGUUUGAUUAUUAAAGAAUUUCGGUUAUCGAUGGGGAUGCGUUCCAUUAGGCAGUUGGUGGGGUAACGGCCCACCAAACCUUCGAUGGAUAGGGGUUCUGAGAGGAAGGUCCCCCACAUUGGAACUGAGACACGGUCCAAACUCCUACGGGAGGCAGCAGUGAGGAAUAUUGGUCAAUGGACGAGAGUCUGAACCAGCCAAGUAGCGUGAAGGAUGACUGCCCUAUGGGUUGUAAACUUCUUUUGUAUGGGAAUAAAGUGGUCCACGUGUGGAUUUUUGUAUGUACCAUAUGAAUAAGGAUCGGCUAACUCCGUGCCAGCAGCCGCGGUAAUACGGAGGAUCCGAGCGUUAUCCGGAUUUAUUGGGUUUAAAGGGAGCGUAGGUGGACAGUUAAGUCAGUUGUGAAAGUUUGCGGCUCAACCGUAAAAUUGCAGUUGAUACUGGCUGUCUUGAGUACAGUAGAGGUGGGCGGAAUUCGUGGUGUAGCCGGUGAAAUGCUUAGAUAUCACGAAGAACUCCGAUUGCGAAGGCAGCUCACUGG
rnacentral:rRNA from 1 species